CUGGAACUCAGCCUGAGGAUCAGCAGCAAAGGCAAAAUGCUCCAAAUAUCUCUGCUGGUCAGAGAGUCAACCACCCCAGCCAUUUAAUUUAUACCAUCCAUUACCCCUGCCUGCAUGACUGACAUUUACUGUGUGAUGCCUGGGAAGCAACGCUGGUGGCAGAGAGCCAGGAGACCUGGUGUCUCUAUCUUGGGCUAUUUCCUCUCAUUCUGUCACCUGAUACUGGGGAGAAGAGACCAGCCCCCACAUCACUACAAUCUAAUCUUAUGUCACUUCUGCUGAUGGAAAAAUCAGUGAGUAUUCAACACCACAUGGUCUAAACAAAACAUCAUUCUUCAGCUACAAAUGUGAAGAAAAACAAUGCCCCUUUGCAGCUCCUUUUCCCUCCAACUGCUUGUAUUCCUGAUGGAUGGCCUCCACUGAAUUUUGGAGAACAUGAACCCAGUGAGGCAUAAGUAGACCUCAGCAGCAUUAAGGACUUGAGCACUGUGAGUAGGACAAUGUAGUUGGCAGGUUGGUAGACUGAAGAAUCUA